rnacentral:rRNA from 1 species
UAAUACGUAGGGUGCAGGCGUUAAUCGGAAUUACUGGGCGUAAAGCGUGCGCAGGCGGUUUGCUAAGACAGGUGUGAAAUCCCCGGGCUUAACCUGGGAACUGCGCUUGUAACUGGCAAGCUAGAGUGUGGCAGAGGGGGGUGGAAUUCCACGUGUAGCAGUGAAAUGCGUAGAGAUGUGGAGGAACACCGAUGGCGAAGGCAGCCCCCUGGGCUAACACUGACGCUCAUGCACGAAAGCGUGGGGAGCAAACAGGAUUAGAUACCCUGGUAGUCCACGCCCUAAACGAUGUCGACUAGUUGUCGGAGGGUAACUCCUUCGGUAACGCAGCUAACGCGUGAAGUCGACCGCCUGGGGAGUACGGUCGCAAGAUUA